rnacentral:lncRNA from 1 species
UUUAAUCUGUCAUCCACCAGCCUGUAAUUCAUUUUCCUUGUAAAAAAAUCUUUAUGGAUAGGCCUUUCAUAAAAUUAUAAACGAAUGAUCACCUUCAUAAGGAAUAUAUUAAUGUAGACGCGCAAACAAUCACCCGCUUCGUUGAAAUCUCUAUUAAACCCUUGGAUGAAAUGACAAAGGCACCACAGCAAUGAAAUGGUCUACGAACCUUUGGAGAUCUGCUUCCCGAGGAGACCGAUGGCCAGAUCCGAGAUUCUCCUUUCCUGGAACAACGACCUUUGAGGGCCUGAAACUCUCCCCCCGCAAGUAGGAAUGCGAUCUGCAAUCGAUCCGGCCGUGAUCACCAAAUCAAUUGGAACCAGGAGGCGGGAACGGAGACCUGGCUUUCAAGAGGUAGACGGAUCGCAGAAGCCUGAUGUUCGUUCCUUCUCGGCUUCAACGUCCGAUCAGUUGCCUCAUCAGAUGAAGACGCAGAAACACAAUUCGCCAACUGGAUCGAAGCCCUCGUUGGCCCCGUUCAAGCCCCGAGGGAGGAGGAAGAAGAGGCAGAAAUUGGAUUCUCUGUCGCCGCCGUCGAUUGCCCAGAAGCUCUAUGAGAAAAUGCCGAAGC